ACACAAACACAACGUCAGUCAGACACACCUGUCUGUUGAGUUCAGGUGAGCUGAUGUCCAUCCGUCAGAUGAGUUGAUGUCUGUCCGUCAGGUGAGUUGAUGUCAGUCUGUCAGGUGAGUUGAUGUCAGUCAGUCAGGUGAGUUGAUGUCAGUCUGUCAGGUGAGUUGAUGUCAGUCUGUCAGGUGAGCUGAUGUCCGUCUGUCAGGUGAGUUGAUGUCCGUCAGUCAGGUGAGCUGAUGUCCGUCUGUCAGGUGAGCUGAUGUCCGUCAGUCAGGUGAGCUGAUGUCCGUCUGUCAGGUGCGUUGAUGUCCGUCUGUCAGGUGAGUUGAUGUCAGUCAGUCAGGUGAGCUGAUGUCCGUCUGUCAGGUGAGUUGAUGUCCGUCUGUCAGGUGAGUUGAUGUCCGUCAGGUGAGUUGAUGUCCGUCAGUCAGGUGAGCUGAUGUCAGUCUGUCAGGUGAGUUGAUGUCCGUCAGUCAGGUGAGCUGAUGUCCGUCAGUCAGGUGAGUUGAUGUCCGUCAGUCAGGUGAGUUGAUGUCCGUCAGUCAGGUGAGCCGAUGUCCGUCAGUCAGGUGAGCCGAUGUCCGUCAGUCAGGUGAGCCGAUGUCCGUCAGUCAGGUGAGUUGAUGUCAGUCAGUCAGGUGAGUUGAUGUCAGUCAGGUGAGCUGAUGUCUGUCAGUCAGGUGAGUUGAUGUCCGUCUGUCAGGUGAGUUGAUGUCCGUCAGUCAGGUGAGUUGAUGUCUGUCAGGUGAGCUGAUGUCCGUCAGUCAGGUGAGUUGAUGUCUGUCAGGUGAGUUGAUGUCAGUCUGUCAGGUGAGUUGAUGUCAGUCAGGUGAGCUGAUGUCCGUCAGUCAGGUGAGCUGAUGUCCGUCAGUCAGGUGAGCUGAUGUCAGUCAGUCAGGUGAGCUGAUGUCCGUCAGUCAGGUGAGCUGAUGUCCGUCAGGUGUUCACACAGAGGCGGUUGAUGCCAUGCCUGAUGUUUCACACACAUUCAAAGUUUUUUUCUUUUUCUGUAAAUAAAGCUUUCGACUGUAAUCAUGGACGAGCACCUGGUCAGAGGAAGCUUUGGUUGAAUAUUUCUUCUUCUAAUCGUCGAAUGUUUGAACGAGGAAGACGACGUCGAGUAGAGUCGUCAAAUAUCUCGUUAACGAUUUGAACCUGAACGCCACGUUCACAUGAACUCUACCUUCAUAUUUCAUCUGCUUCACCUGAAUAAUCUGAAUUUAAACAGUUUUAAUCUCAGCUUCAUGUUUAGGAAACAUUUGAUAGAUCGUUAAAACUAAUCAGUGCAUUUCAUAAAAACGACAAUAAUCUGUUGAUGUCUGUUCUUCCACUGGAGAUUUUGACUUUAAUUAAUCAUUUCAUUGAACUUCUGACAGACUCGGACAGUUUUUUUAUUUUUGAGAAUUUCGCCCACGAAAAUCCCCAAAAAGAGCGGGAAAAAAAGAGCGGGAAAACUGCAUGACUGCAAGAGAAAAGUGAUGUUAAAGUUCUGUACAGAAACAUCUGAACAUCGGACCGUUGAACAUUUCAUGCUGCUCGCUGUCAGAUUCAUAGUUUUGUGUUGUGGAUCAUUAAAGUCGAUCAAUAAUCGGACUCUUUAAUAUAAAUCUGUCUCUUUGACGUUAGUUCUGUUCAGUACUCGACCCGUCUCAAAGCCCGGUGUGAACGUCAGGUCCAUGUUGAUGAUGUCAUCACGUCAUGUGAUUGGUCUGCAUGCAUCAAACCUUCAGAGACGCGUCGCUGCUGCUUCAUGUUUCAGUCUGUAGCUCGACCUUCAUUCACGUUUAACCUGGUUCUGAAGGUUCUGAACCAUGAAGGAGCAGCGGUCCUGGUGGACUCUUUGGGUCUCUGCUGGAGCCAUGCUUUGCAUCAACAUGCUCACAGAGAGGACAGACAGGAAGCAGUGAGACACUCUGCUCCAAUCAGACGACA